AAAGCCUCUUCUAGGGUGGUUGCCUGGCAGCCCUUCAUCCAAUUGCGGGCUGCCCGCUGCAGGCGAAAAGCCCAUUCCGUAUGGGAAUCUCUCCCGGUCUUUCUCAGUUCUCUAAACUUUUUCCGGUAUGCCUCCGGAGUUACCGCAUAUCUGGCCAACAAAAUGUCUUUUAUUUUCUCAUAAUUAUGUAUGUCCCCCUCAGGUACUGCUCGCAGCGCCUCGGCUGCUCUACCUGACAAUUUACUGCUGACGACUGCAG